CCAAAAGGUAGAUAAUGUACCUCAGAACUGAGGACACUGACAGUAAGCAGAGUUGAGCCUGACAUCAGCCAGCACUGAUCAGCGUGAACAGAGCAAAUGGAACAUCCUGGCUCUCUGUUUGUGUGUCAAAUUGAAAGGGGAUGUGAGCCUCAAACAAUUUCUGAGGCCCCACCGCCCCUACCAACUUCACACAAACAAUGUUAUUAGGUGAGCACUUGUGUUAGAAAGUGUGACCAGAUUUGACCAGUGGGCCCCCACCAUGCGUUUCCCUCCUUCAUCUCAGUGUGCGUGUAUUUUGUGUGUUGUGUGUUGUGUGUGUGUGUGUGUGUGUGUGUGUGUGUGUGUGAACUUUCCUAGGCAACAGAAUGCUCCAUUGUGAAGGCAGCACAGAGACCCUGUUAUUGGCGGCUUUCUGAGUGGGAGGAGGGAGCGCAAAGCAAGAGGGCGAGAGUGGAGAGAUAAAUAAAUUGAAAUGUGCAGAGAGCAAAAUGCUUUUUUGAAAAUAUCCUUGUUUGACACUUUACCGACAGCCAAGGUGAAAAGAUCAAUAUCAAUUUUAUCUCUCUGCAUUGAGUGCAGAGAAAGGUCCGAGUAGUGUUUUGCGGAGCGAAGCACAAACACAGGAUGCAGGUCUGUCAAGAGUGAAAGAGUAGUCGUUGCUACAUCUCCUAAAAGGUUGUAUCUACAUGAUACAUCUUAGGCAGCAAACUAAUCAUCAGUACAUUAAAGAGGCAGCCAGGUUUUGUUCAGAGUUAGGACACCUGACAAUGUAAAACUAGUAAUUCUGAUCCUGGAUCAACUGAAGGAUGUGGGCCAUGAAAGUAAGUCUUUUGGAUGGAGGACCUCAAAGCCAGGAGGAUGAACUUGCACUUUUUUUUUUUUUUCCAAGGGAGGUUGUUUGCCUCACAGAGACCAAAACAAAAGGCGUGUUUGUUAGCUGUUUGGCCAGAAAGUUUGAACUAUGUGAGUGUGUAAAUAACAGUGGUAAACUGGAGUUUUCUUGUGUUUCAUGACAUUACAAUGCCUUAUUUAUACACAUGAUGGAUGACUGGCAAACAAUUCACAGAGAUAAUAGUAAAUAAAUGUCCACAUAAUAGACCCCAUAAUGCCUUCAAUCCAGUUCUUGCCAGAUGUGGUUUUGAAUUUGAGCAUUUAUUAAGUCGCUAUAAUAUAAAAAAUGCAGCACAAAGGAUGCUCAGAAAUACAAUUUAUAUACAUUUUCUCAUGUUCAUUAACCUGCCUGCAGUCAUGUCUUAAAGUGGUGCUCCUUACAUCUGGUACUGUAGGAAGUUUUGUGUCCGUAUUAACGCGGCAUCUCUUUAAACUGUUAUGCAGACGACACACAGUUGUACGCUACAGUUAAGCUUAGUUUGUUGGGUUCUCUACAGGAUUGCUUGGUUGGUCAAAAAACAAAUGUCAAAAUCAAGUCUGUUGCAACAAAAUCGCAAUGUUCUCAAGGUUUUUAUCACCUUAAAAUAUUUAAGUAAAAACUGCUUUACAUUUUGGAGCCUCAGAGAUUAUCUGGCAUGCUUUUAUCUUGUCACUCCUUGGUUAUUGCAGCAGUCUUGUCACUUGUCUUAGUAAAAAAACAACAACUUUUGAGCGGCUACAGAUUGAAGAACUCAGCUGCCUGACUGGGUGUUAUUCAAAGAGAACAGUUUUCAUUAUUAUUUCUCACCCUCUAUAUUAGCGUUUAACACUUGUGCCUCAUUUCUUAAAGACGCCCACACACACACACCGAACGCACACACGCACACACACACACCGAACACACAAGGCUGAUUAAGGGCUUUUCUGAACCAUAGUGUUGAGGUGAAAAUGUGUGUUUGGUCAAAGAUGCUGAGUCCUGCUACUUAAAUGUGUGCGUGUGUUCAAAUGUCAUAUUUGGACUUUUGUGCGUCUCCAAUGACGGUAGACGACCAAUCGCACUAAUUUAUGGUGUGAGUUAAGUUCCUCAAUUCAGAAAUAGGAACUACAGUUGAUCAGAGUGUAAGAUUCACCCUGUCCCUGUGCUCUGUGGUAUCUGCCCUGUCAGAGGAAGCUUUUGACAGGAAAUGAAAUGUCCUCAUUUGAACACACUCGCACACUGGUGAGUAACCCAUCUCGGUCUGGUCUGUGUGGGUUACUGUGUGCUCGCUCAGCCUCCUCCACCCUCACGUCUGGCUACCAAAUGAAAUCAGGUUGUGUAAGCCAUGAUCUGAGGAGUUAAAGUCAACUUGUUCCCUCUGUGGACGACACAGACUCGCCCUCCCACAUGCUGCACUCCCACACAUCAGUCAUGUCUCAGUCUGAACCCACUAGUUACACUGUGUGGGAGUGGUUAUGUGUUAUUCGCCUGGAGCAGUACUCUGAGGCAUUUCUGAGUUCCGGGCUGGCAACAUUCCGACAAUGUCGCAGCCUCACACCAGAUCAGCUGGAGCGCAUGGGCAUCACCCUGCCGGGUCACCAGAGACGCAUCCUGGCCAGCCUGAACAAAAGGCACGGGAACAGCGACACACAAUCUGACACACACUCUCACCUUGUACCGUCUGAAGGAGAUCAGAGAUUGGAGGAAACGGGACACGCCAAAGCGUUGCAGAGAGAGAGACCCGUGCCUAUCCCAGUGGAGGAAAAACCUGUCCUCAAGGAAAGGGGGAAAAGAGACGGAGAGACAUUGAGACCUUUACCCAGGGAAAGAGAGAAACCAGUCCCCAGGGAGAGACAAGUGCCCAGGAUGAAAGAGGUAAGUGGAGAAGUAGGAGAGAAGAGGCCGGUUCCUGGACAAAGACAGACAGCAGCUAGAGAAGGAAAAGUGGAAGAGAGGGAUGGAGGAAUAGAUGGAGAGAAGGAGAAGCCUGUGCCCAAAGAAAGGACUCGGUUUCGCUCCAGUGCUCCAGUGGAGUGCGACCCCAGCCAACUUGUCUCUCCAGCUUCUGAUGCCCCUUUACCCCCUGUCCCUCCACGAAGCAUCCCCAACUGUCCUCCACAGUGCUUCACCUCCCCCCUCAGCCCCUCACCUCCUGCUCGAGCCCCUGCCUCCCCCAAACCGGACAGACAUGCGGUUAAAGCCCCAGCUGUACAAAGCAGAUUCCAGUUUUCCACCCCCGCCAGCUCCCCCACACAUGCACCUCUCCACCCUCCCAACUCCCUCUCUGCUCAAACUCGGCCUCAGACGUUAGCUAUUCAGCCCCCUGCCCAUCAUUUGGGUGGUGACGGAGGAAGAAUAACUUCAUCCGUCUCCCGAACUGUGUUCCUCAGCAAUGACGUAAAUGCUCCACCUCUCCCACCAAAAGCAGGGGCGGUAUCUAAAGGCCCUCCACCAAUCCCACACCGCUCCUCUCCCACCAAAACAGUCACUGAUGAGGUGCAGAAAGACCAAACUCCACAGGUCCCACCUCGCAUCAGGACACCCCAAACUCUAGAAGACGCACAUCAGUCAAAUCAACCGGACACUCAGCCGGCACUGCCUGCUCAGAGAGUCACUCAAUCCAGGUUGGAUUCACUCGAUGAUUGUUCUGAUGACUACGAGGAUCCAGACUCGUUUUACCCCAGUGCUCAUCGAAUAAACGCACCAGACAGGGAUAUGUCCCUGCAAGUGCCUGUCAAGGCAAAAGGACAGCGCAGUUCUUUGUACAGUGAUGAUGAGCAGUUGGAUGAUGAUGAUCCCAGUCUAUGGCAGGAUGGGGGGGGCAUGGGCAGUCAGCAAGGAAGCUUCUACCUGCCAAACACGGGCAGACUGACACCGGCCACUAAAGACGACAGCUCUCAGCUUGCUGCUGUCAUUAAGAUGGGCUGGCUGGACAAGAAUCCACCUCAGGGGGCCCUUUAUUAUCAGCGAAGAUGGGUGAAGCUGGAUGUUGACUACGUGAGAUACUUUGACAAUGAGAAGGAUGUGUAUUCUAAGGGGAUCAUCUCUACCGCCUUCGUUACUAAUGUGACCAGUGUGGGCGAGCUGAAGUUUGAGGUCGUCACAAACAACCGAACAUUUAUCUUCAGGGCUGAAAGUGAAGUCGAGAGAAACGAGUGGGUGACUGUACUGAAGGACUGCACCAGGGGGCGCCAUCUGCGCAGCACCAUGAACCCAGGCUCACCUUUGUCCCCGGACUAUCAGGGAUAUCUGGAGCUCAGAGGGUUACGCUCCAAACUUUAUACCGUUGUAGCCUCAGAUAAAGUCUUCCUCUACAAAAACAUUGAGGACUAUCGUAUAGGAGUGGGUAUCACAUCCAUUGAGAUGAAUGUUGGCAAUGUUAAAGACUCAGAUCGUCGUGGCUUUGAUCUCACCACGCCUUACCGCAUAUUCAGUUUCAUCGCAGAAACAGAGCAGCUACGAGAGCAGUGGGUGAACGCCAUGAGGAAUGCGAUCGAUGAGGCGCUGUCGAAUAGCGAGGUGGCCGAGCGGAUCUGGGCGGAGCCUAGCAACAGCCUUUGUGCCGACUGUGAGGCUCCCCAGCCGGAAUGGGCUGCCAUCAACUUGUGCGUGGUGGUCUGCAAGCGAUGUGCAGGAGAGCACAGAGGACUAGGUCCUAGCAUCUCAAAGGUUCGUAGUCUGAAGAUGGACAGGAAAGUCUGGACAGAGGAGCUUAUACAGGUGUUUCUGUUGCUGGGCAACGAGCGGGUAAACAGCUUCUGGGCGGCUAACGUCCCGCCAAGUGAAGCUUUGGAACAGUCUAGCUGCAGUGAAGAGAGACGGCGCUUCAUCACCAACAAGUACCGCCACGGCAAAUACAGGAAGUACCACCCGCUAUUCAGAAACCAGAGAGAGCUCAACAAUGCUCUUUGUAUAAAUGUGCAGUGCAGCGAUGUGCUGGAAACGUUGAGCUUGAUUUUCUGCGGUGCAGAUGUGAAUUGUUCAACUGGUAUGGCAAGUUGGCCCUCUGCUCUCUCCCUGGCCAACGCACACUCGCAACCCUUACAGGCUGAGUUAAUAAGCCUCAAUCUCAACACAGAGCUGCCACGGUCAGAGAUGGAUGAAGACAAGCCGAUACAUUACUCAGCACCACGUUGUGUGUCUCACAAUGGCUUCCUGUUCAAGACUGCAUCCAUGGCUCGGGCCAUCACAGAGCGCAAGGGCAAAGACGAGUUCAGUCGUCGCUGGUGCACUGUGAAUGAUGGCACCUUCAGCUACUAUGAGAGUGACAAGAACUCGAACCCUAACGGUGCUUUGAAGGCUUCAGAGAUCGUCUGCUUAGCUGUUGACGCGCCUGAGAGACACGGGUAUGAACACACCUUUGAACUUUACUCGGGGUCAGAGCGUCUCUAUCUGUUCGGCACCGAUGACCCAGACAGCCACAAGGAAUGGGUCAAGUCUAUUGCCAAGAGUUUUAUCCCGACAACCGCAGAGCCGCUACUGAAGUUGACUUUUGAGCGGAUCGGGCGGCUGAAAUGUAAAGACGGCUUGAACCUACAAACAUCCAAGGUGGGCUGGUUUGCUCUGGUGGGCUCCACACUUCACGCCUACCUGGAGGACAGCCAGGGACAGCCAGAGGAGAUCCACCUCCGCAAACUGAAUGAACUCUCGAUUCAACAAGACAAUGAGGUGCUGGUUCUGGUGGAGAGAGGCAGAACUCUGUACAUAGAGGGAGAGAGGAAGUUGGAUUUUUCCGGCUGGUGCGGUGCCAUCCAGGCGGCAGCGGGGAGUGGAGGAGACACACUGAGCCAGCAGCAGCUGACAGAGACAGACAUACCUGUCAUAGUACACAGCUGCAUCGGCUACAUCACGCGGUGCGGCUUGACCUCUGAGGGGAUAUAUCGUAAGAGCGGUGUGCAAUCCCGUGUAACAGCGCUGUUUGAGAGAUUUCAUCGUGAUGCUCGCAGUCUCCUUCUGAGAGAAGGAGAGCACCAGGUGGACGACGUCUCCAACAUGCUCAAACGCUUCUUCAGGGAGUUAGGGGAGGGACUGUUCACAUCACAGGAUGCCAGCACCUGGCUCAGUGCAGCUGCUAUUCAGGAUGAAAGCAAGAAAAUCUCCCAAUACCGGCUGCUGUUGAACAGACUGCCUUGUGUCAACAAGGCUACACUACAGGCCCUUAUCAACCACCUCUAUUGCGUGCAGCGUUUUUCUGAGCUGAACCAGAUGAACCUCCAUAACCUGGCCAUAGUAUUCGGUCCCACAAUGUUCCAGAGCGACGGGAAGGACUUCAGUGCUGGCCGCGCCAUAGAGGACCUCAUACAGCACUACACAUCAAUCUUUGAGGUGGAUGAACAGCAGCUCAAGAAGCAGCUGGAAGAGAUCACUGUUAUCAUCAAAGUGCGAAAUCUCGAUACGUUUCCUAAUCCUGAACCUGGAGGGCACUUCAUCUGUACAGUGUACCUGGAGGAAAAGAAGGAGACAGCAGAGCAACACGUCAAGAUCCCUGGUUCUAUGACCGCAGCAGAGCUGACCUGUGAGGUCCUGGACCGGCGUAACAUCCGGGUUAAAGACAAAGAGUACUGGAACUGCUGGGAGGUCAGCGACAAGGAGGAAAUGGAACGUCCACUGCACUAUCAGGAGCGAGUCUUACCCACCCUUCACUCCUUUGGCACCGAGUCCCAUCUGCUCAUCAAGAAACACCUCGCUAUGGAGGCGAUGAUGCUCUACCUGGCCAGUAAAGUCGAUGCAUCCAAACACGGGAUGAUGAAAUUCAGAGAAGAGCGAAGCAUCUUGGGACGCCCCUCUGGAAGUUUCCACGACCGAUAUUUCGUCCUCAAUUCCAACUCUCUCAGAAUGUACAAGGAAGUGAGAAGUAACCGUACAGAACGUGAUUGGCCAGUGAAAAACCUAAAGUUCUACAUGGGUAUUAAAAAGAAAGUCCGUCCUCCUACAUGUUGGGGACUAACAGUCGUGUAUGAGGGUAAGAAACAAGAGAAACAAGAGAAGCAGGAGAGACAGCAGUGGUAUCUCUGCUGUGACUCCCAGUCAGAUAUGAGGGAGUGGUAUGCCACUUUCCUAAGUAUCCAGUACGAUGGCAACGUGUGGCCUCAGGACGGACUCCAGCAGACACGAGUGAGCCGCGUGUUGCCGGAUACGCGUCACGGUAAUGUGUCACUGAUACCACUGCGUGGCAGUGAGAAUGAGAUGCGGAACAGCGUGGCAGCUUUCAGCCAAGACCCGCUUGCUGUGAGUGAACCUACCAAUCACUGGGAAUAAUCUAGAUCAGACCAGGAAGCUCAAUCUGGAGCUACUGGUUUAUCAGAGACAUUCAUGCUGAAACAGGUGGUCCAGACCCUCAACCCUGAUUCUCACCAAAGAGGUGAACAAAUUUGUGCUAGUUGUGUAAUGUGUACAUUGCAUUUGGAGUGAAAAAAAAAGUCUCCUCUGAAUUCUACUCAGUUUUAAAGACAUGCACAUUUAGUGUUGCUUCAAUAUUUGUCUUCUCUUUUCAUUAUUCCCUUCCGCCAAAAGGAAGACAGGAGUUGGGGGUUACAUCUGUGCAGAAUCAAUAAUCUCUGUUCAAUGAUUCAUCUUUGAUUUAAUCAUCAUGACAAGAUCUGGGUUCUUAAACUGGCUCUUUUGACCAGAAACAGACUAAAGGGCGCUUCCUUGAAGUGUUUUCAUUAGCCUGGAUUCCAGGGCAAGAGAAUAAAUUCCCAGGUUAUGUCUGCGUCUAAAAAUGUUUAAGAAUCCAGAUGAGGUGAAGAGGAGGAGAGGGCAGCAUCUUCAUAUUGUAGGUUUGGAUUGAGAACCAACAAAACCAGAAUUACAGCAAGAGUCAUUCUUGGCGAGGCGCUGCCAAAGCUUUGCAAACAGAAUCUUAAGAAUAACACAUUUAAAGUGAACUCAUGCCCGCAGGCAAAAUAUGGCCACUCGCCAACAUUUUGUUUCACAGCACUGCUUCUGGCAUGUCAGCUCAGAGUUGUAUACUUGGCAAGAAUUUGACAAACACCAUCACUGUGGUUUGUUGGACUACAUUUCAAGCAUACUGACAUAAAUCCGGACCUGCGACAUCAAUGGUGGUAUGCGACCAAAUGUCCACAAUAUAAUGAUGCAGUUGUCUCCUUCUGGUGUUUCUGUAGCCAUCACAUGUCUCUCGUUAGUGCGCUGCAGACUGCAGCAGCACAUAAGAAUUCAACACAGUCUGCUGUUACUUCCAUUGGCAAAAACACAAUUCCAGGGUUGUUGUUGCCUUCCACAUAUUUUUCUAUUGAUCCUUGUCUUUUCAGUGUAUCGACUGGAUAAAAAAAUAAAUAUUUGGAGCAUGAGAGGGGGUGUGAUUGCUUUGGUGAUGGAGCAGCAGCAGCAGAAGCUGUAUUUAUGCAAGAUGUUUGUGUAUGUGGGUGUGGAGGAGAGAGAUUUACUGUAUAUUGAUAUGCCCAAUUUUCAACGUGAAGUAAAAGAGUAAGUACGGAGCACUGACCAUGUGUCGGUGUGUGUGUGUGUGUUUGUGUGUGUGUGUGUGUGUGUGUGUGUGUGUGUGUGUGUGUGUGUGUGUGUGUGUGUGUGUGUGUGUGUGUGUGUGUGAGAGAGAGAGAGAGGAUGGUUGACUGCUCCUGUUUAUGACUCUCAAGGUGAAAUCUGAUGAUGUUUGUUGUGCCUUUUUGAAUGUUGGUAUCACGCAUUCACCACAUCUCUCCUUGCUCUGACAAGGCUUCUUCACACUUGUCUUUCUUUUUAGACGUACCAUCGACACCUGCUUGCCUCUUAGUCUCUUUCACUCUACGUUUCCCUCCUGUCUGCAGUCCAUCAGUCUUCACCUCCUAUUUCUACACCUCUCGGUUUCUCCAUCUGUCCAUCUCCCUCCCUGUCAUAACCCCUCUGCUGUUUAUCUUUCAGCUCUUUAGAGAUGUUCGAUAAAGUUCGCUGCAAGAAAGGCGGACAGUCGGCCUCAGAAGACCUCUGAACAUUCCAGUGACGACGUCAUUCUGCCGUUGUAAGGGCCACAAUGAUGGACACUCGUACUCUGUGUGGAUUAUGGCCUUAGACUGCCAUCUGCUCCUUUGAAUAUGAACUGGACUGAAACGGACAAACAGGAUCACAUGUAAAAUAUAAGCAACACUGGCCUCCUGCACAAAAUAAUGUUCCUUGACUUGAUGUACAGUGGAAGCAGCUGGGAGCGGUGGCAGUUUGAAGGGACAGUUUGAGGGACAGUUUGAAGGACUAGGAUGGAUGUUUGACAAGUCUUCGCCCAAUGCUCAACUGUUGGUCAGUGGCACGUGACUCAAACACUGCAUUGCAUUAUGGGACGGAAGCAUGAAAGACAUGCUGAGAGAAACCUUAAUUUCUUUAAUGUAUUUCAGAAAAGACUUAGUCGAGUUAUUCGAGGCACUAGCAUUGAACGCUUAGCUUUUGUUUGUUUUUUUAAAUAGAAGAAUAAAGUUUAUUGGCUUGCAGUAGUAGUUCAUCUGAUUUAUAGUUAUUUAAAGUUUUAUCUUGUAUUAAAUUGUGUCUUUUGGGAAGUGAAGGAAUGAGAGGUAUGAGCUGAAAAAAACAUUUCCUUUCUUUCGAUUAAAAGAAGAAAGUCACAAUUGAGUGCAACACGACCGUUGCCAAACUUUGUUAGAAUAUGUGAUAAAUUAAAAGAAACUCUUGAUUUACUAUUGCCCCAUAUUCUGAAUCAAGCAUCUUAAGUUUGAAACCAUAUUCACUUAUUCACAAUGUAUGAAGCCCUGGCCUGAUCAGGAGUGUUCCCCAUACAUACAUGGGCAGUUUUAUCAUUAACCAGCAGUAUUUAUGAAGUUUUAGAUUAUGGAUUAGUCCCAUUGAAAUAAACUUCUCUUUUAUGUUUGUUGCGCA